rnacentral:lncRNA from 1 species
AUCAGACAGAACAGACAGACCAAGGAGGCUGCAUUUCAUAAAAUCAGAGGAGCCACUGAGUAAGAAGGUAACAUGAUCCGAGGGUAUCAGAGAAGAACCAGAGAUUCAGAAACUAGUUAGGUGGGCAAGAGUCCAGACCAGACUCGUGGGAGCCGCACCAUGAGGGAGAGAAUAAGAGAUACACAUCCUAAGGAGGGGACUAUGUGUCCUGCUUUUCCUGUGCAACUAAAAGCUCCUUUUGAUAGGCUCUGUCACGCGGCUAGAAGCAGGAGGAGGCUUGGAAAUUUAUAAAAGUGGGUCAAAUGGGAGAAGUCAGGGAAGAAUUCACAGUGCUGAGAUGAUAAGGAGAGCUGUAACCAGAAAGUGGACUUGACCAGGGGACUAAUGUGAGCAGGGAGUGGAGACAAUGAGCUUCGUGAGUGAGAGUUGCCAGCGUCCAUGCGGAGACAUGGCACCAAAGUUCAGAAGAGGGCUGGACUGCAGGGAAGGGGCAGGCUGCUCCAGUUCAGGGAGGCUUGUGGCCCCAGCUCUAGUGAGGCUGUGCCCCACACCAACCCAGCACACGCUUCCUUUACCCGGAAAGUCUGAGCAAGUUUCUCCAUCCUGGGACUUCAAGUUUCUGUAGUGGGCUGAAUGGUGGCGCUGAGAAAGGUAAGUCCCUGACGGAACUCCACUGCCCCCAGAAUCUGUGAGUGUGACCUUAUUUGGAGAAAGGGUCUGUGCAGAGGUAAUUAAGUUAAGGUUGUCAAGAAGAGAUCAUCUGGAUUAUCCAGGUGGGCCCUAAAUCCCACGACAAGUGUUCUUACAAGAGUCAGAAGAGGGGAAGGCCGUGUGAAGACGGAAGCAGAGACUGGAGGCAGGCAGCCACAACCCAAGGAACGCCUGGAGCCUGGAGCCACCCAAAGCUGGAGGAGGCCAAGGGUUCUCCCCUAGAGCCUCCGAACAGAGCACAGCCCACAGUCGCCUUGAUUUCGGACUUAUAGCCUCCGAAACUGUGAGAGAAUACAGUUCUGCUGUUUCAAGCCCCCCAAGGUUUUGGCAGUUUGUUGCCACAGCCCAAGGAAA